rnacentral:ncRNA from 1 species
GGAUAUUUACCGCCGGGUAAAAAGCGUUGCGUUUUGUAUCAGUAGGCCUUGAAGAUACAAAACAGCCAGCGCUUUUCUUUU